rnacentral:rRNA from 1 species
GCCAGACUCCUACGGGAGGCAGCAGUGAGGAAUAUUGGUCAAUGGGCUUACGCCUGAACCAGCCAAGUCGCGUGAGGGAAGACUGCCCUAUGGGUUGUAAACCUCUUUUGUCAGGGAGCAAUUGGCGCUACGUGUAGCGUUAUCGAGAGUACCUGAAGAAAAAGCAUCGGCUAACUCCGUGCCAGCAGCCGCGGUAAUACGGAGGAUGCGAGCGUUAUCCGGAUUUAUUGGGUUUAAAGGGUGCGUAGGCGGAAGGCAAAGCCAGGGGGAAAAGCGCGGGGCCAAACCGCGCGCCGCCGUUGAAACUGGCGUUCUUGAGUGGGCGAGAAGUAUGCGGAAUGCGUGGUGUAGCGGUGGAAUGCAUAGAUAUCACGCAGAACUCCGAUGGCGAAGGCAGCAUACCGGCGCCCAACUGACGCUGAAGCACGAAAGCGUGGGUAGCGAACAGGAUUAGAUACCCUCGUAGA